GACUAACGCUGGCGGCAUGCAUCCUACAUGCAAGUCGAACGGAGAGUAGGUAGCAAUAUCUGCUCUUAGUGGCGAACGGGUGAGUAACACGUAGGUAACCUACCCUCGUGACUGGGAUAACCUGCCGAAAGGCGGGCUAAUACCGGAUAUGACCACAGUCCCGCAUGGGACGGGGGUAAAAGGCUGGCUCGCAAGGGCUACCACACAAGGAUGGGCCUGCGCACUAUCAGCUAGUUGGUGGGGUAACGGCCUACCAAGGCUAUGACGGUUAGCCGGCUUGAGAGAGUGAACGGCCACACUGGAACUGAGACACGGUCCAGACUCCUACGGGAGGCAGCAGUAGGGAAUCUUCCGCAAUGGGCGAAAGCCUGACGGAGCAAUGCCGCGUGAGUGAUGAAGGCCUUCGGGUCGUAAAGCUCUGUUGAGGGGGAAGAA
rnacentral:rRNA from 1 species